rnacentral:rRNA from 1 species
UACGUAGGGUGCGAGCGUUGUCCGGAAUUACUGGGCGUAAAGGGCGCGUAGGCGGAUAUCUAAGUUGGGGGUGAAAUCCCGGGGCUCAACCUCGGAAUUGCCUUCAAAACUGGGUAUCUUGAGUUCGGGAGAGGUGAGUGGAACUCCGAGUGUAGAGGUGAAAUUCGUAGAUAUUCGGAAGAACACCAGUGGCGAAGGCAGCCUUCUGGGCCAACACUGACGCUCAUGCACGAAAGCGUGGGGAGCAAACAGG